GGGAGCUUGCUCCUUGAUUCAGCGGCGGACGGGUGAGUAAUGCCUAGGAAUCUGCCUGGUAGUGGGGGACAACGUUUCGAAAGGAACGCUAAUACCGCAUACGUCCUACGGGAGAAAGCAGGGGACCUUCGGGCCUUGCGCUAUCAGAUGAGCCUAGGUCGGAUUAGCUAGUUGGUGGGGUAAUGGCUCACCAAGGCGACGAUCCGUAACUGGUCUGAGAGGAUGAUCAGUCACACUGGAACUGAGACACGGUCCAGACUCCUACGGGAGGCAGCAGUGGGGAAUAUUGGACAAUGGGCGAAAGCCUGAUCCAGCCAUGCCGCGUGUGUGAAGAAGGUCUUCGGAUUGUAAAGCACUUUAAGUUGGGAGGAAGGGCAGUAAGCUAAUACCUUGCUGUUUUGACGUUACCGACAGAAUAAGCACCGGCUAACUCUGUGCCAGCAGCCGCGGUAAUACAGAGGGUGCAAGCGUUAAUCGGAAUUACUGGGCGUAAAGCGCGCGUAGGUGGUUUGUUAAGUUGGAUGUGAAAGCCCCGGGCUCAACCUGGGAACUGCAUCCAAAACUGGCAAGCUAGAGUACGGUAGAGGGUGGUGGAAUUUCCUGUGUAGCGGUGAAAUGCGUAGAUAUAGGAAGGAACAACCAGUGGCGAAAGCGACCACCUGGACUGAUACUGACACUGAGGUGCGAAAGCGUGGGGGAGCAAACAGGAUUAGAAUACCC
rnacentral:rRNA from 1 species